AUUGAACGCUGGCGGCAGGCCUAACACAUGCAAGUCGAACGAGUGGCGGACGGGUUAGUAAUGUCUCUGCAACUUCCCGAUGGCGGGGGAUAACUACUGGACACGGUUCCUAAUCCCGCAUUGCAUCGCAUGUGCCCAAAUGGGAUUUGAUAGUGGGUGGGGUAACGGCUCACAUAGGCGUCGACCCCUAACUGGUCUGAGAGGAUGACCAGCCACACUGGAACUGAGACACGGUCCAGACUCCUACGGGAGGCAGCAGUGGGGAAUAUUGCACAAUGGGCGCAAGCCUGAUGCAGCCAUGCCGCGUGUAUGAAGAAGGCCUUCGGGUUUUAAAGUACUUUCAGCGAGGAGGCGUUACUCGCAGAAGAAGCACCGGCUAACUCCGUGCCAGCCGCCGCGGUAAUUC
rnacentral:rRNA from 1 species